GCAGUACAGUUGCUAGGAUACUACAAACUUGUCACCUUAUGCAUGGAUGAGAACAAGCCUGCAGUGAAAAUCAAAGUGACCUUUUGUGGUGGAUGAGGAUACAGCAAAAGGUUCAACGACUUUCAAAAGUAUAUUGAACCAUACUUUGCAAAGGGGACAAUCCAAGUAAUAGGUGAAAACACCGCCACAAUCACAAAUCUCUUUGAAGUAGAAGUGAAUGGAAGAAUUAUUCAUUCAAAAAAGGAUGGGGAUGGAUUUGUUGACAAUGAAUUUAAAAAGAAUAAAAUCAAAGCUGCAGUACAACUCGCCUUAAGAACAGCAUCUCACAAUAGUGAAUAAUAAUAAUUAGUAGAUCAAUCAUUACCAAUACUCAUGAUACAAUGAAGAGUUUAGCUAAAAGGUCACUGUUAUAGUACAGACUGAGCUAAAUCUCUGACUUUCAUCACUCUGAGUAUUGCUGUAUUGAGCCUAUAAUAAAAGCUGUUAAAUUUAUUCUAAAUCAUUAAUCUUUUCAUUUGGUUGUAUAAACAAUUACAAACAUGCAAGACACUUAUGUGAUAGUGUUAUUUUGUCCUAAAA